GCCUGGGUGGCUCAGUUGGUUAAGCAUCUGCCUUUGGUUCAGGUCAUGGUCCCAGGGUCUCAGGAUCGAAUCCUGCAUCAGGCU
rnacentral:tRNA from 1 species